rnacentral:rRNA from 1 species
CGUAGGGUCCAAGCGUUAUCCGGAAUCACUGGGCGUAAAGCGUGCGUAGGCGGCUUGUUAAGUGAGAUGUUAAAACGUGGGGCUCAACCCUGUCGGUGCAUCUCAUACUGGCAGGCUAGAGGACGGCAGAGGCAAGUGGAAUUGGUAGUGUAGCAGUGAAAUGCGUAGAUAUUACCAGGAACACCAAUGGCGAAGGCAGCUUGCUGGGCCGACCCUGACGCUGAGGUACGAAAGCGUGGGGAGCGAACAGGAUUAGAUACCCUGGUAGUCCACGCCGUAAACGAUGCAUACUAGACGUAUGGGGUAUCGACCCCCUGUGCGUCGCAGCUAACGCGAUAAGUAUGCCGCCUGGGAAGUACGGCCGCAAGGCUA